GUAGGGGCUCAAGCAUUAUCCGGAAUUAUUGGGUGUAAAGAACGUGUAGGUGUUCCUACAAGUCGGUCGUUAAAUCUCACUGCCCAACAGUGAGGCCGCGAGCGAAACUGUAGGAAUUGAGGUUUGCAGGGGCAAGUAGAAUUCUUGGAGUAGAGGUGAAAUUCGUUGAUACCAAGAGGAAUACCAAUGGCGAAGGCAGCUUGCUGGGCAAUACCUGACACUGAGACGUGAAAGCGUGGGGAGCAAACGGGAUUAGAUACCCCGGUAGUCCACGCCGUAAACGAUGUCAACUAGCAAUUGGAAGAGUCGACCCUUUCAGUCGCGAAGCUAACGCGUCAAGUUGACCACCUGGGAAGUACGAUCGCAAAGAUUA
rnacentral:rRNA from 1 species